AGAGACCUCAAGCGUUAUCCGGAUUUAUUGGGCGUAAAGAGCAGGUAGGUGGAAAUAUUAGUCAGAUGUCAAAUCCUUCGACUCAAUCGAAGAACUGCAUUUGAAACGGUAUUUCUAGAGGGAGUGAGAGAUUACCGGAACUUAUGGUGUAGCAGUGAAAUGCGUUGAUAUCGUGAGGAACACCAAAGGCGAAGGCAUGUAAUUGGCACUCUCCUGACACUGAUCUGCGAAAGCGUGGGUAGCGAAUGGGAUUAGAUACCCCAGUAGUCCACGCCCUAAACGUUGCACACUAGGCAUGCGGGGAUUCGACCCCUCUCGUGUCGUAGCCAACGCGUUAAGUGUGCCGCCUGGGAAGUACGAGCGCAAGCUUA
rnacentral:rRNA from 1 species